rnacentral:tRNA from 2 species
CGGGGUGUAGCGCAGUCUGGUAGCGCGCCUGCUUUGGGUGCAGGAUGUCGGGAGUUCGAAUCUCUCCACCCCGACCA